rnacentral:tRNA from 1 species
AGGACCGUAUCUUUCAAGCAUAUGUUUUAAAACGAUAAAUACAAUAUCUAGUAUUAUUAGAAGCCCCCUCCUAAGGGGCAGGUUGCAGGUUCGAAUCCUGCCGGGGUUG